UGAAUUGUAGUUUGAAGAUGCAUUUGCCAAUGGACAUGAUAAUGAAAGCCUUUUGGGAAAAAGCAUCAACGAGGGUGAGAAUCCUUCUUGACAUUUCAAUUGUCCAUGUACGGUGUGCAUUGAAGAUUCACGUUCCUUGGGAUUUGAACGCAAACUUGUUGGUAAAUUUCAUUUAAAGCUAAAUAUUGGUUUGAGACCGAUAGAAAACAAGUACCAUGAGGGAAAAGUGAAAAGGACUUUGAAAAGAAAGUUAAAAGUGCUUGAAAUUGCUGAAGAGGAAGCGGGUGUAUUUCAAACACAAUUUUCAAGAUUGUUGUGCAUAUCUGUGAUUUCUUGUUGUUUUGACUUCAUCGCAGCAACAAGACUGAUCUGUGACUGCACAAUGUUGCUUGUGUUUUGUGCCAUCAUCGAUUCACAGCUAAAGAAACAGCCUGAAAAUGACGAUUUGCUCUUGUGCAAAUGAAUGUUUGGGUGUAGAUUUAGCUUGUGGACCGUCUGUCUUCCUGUUGUGUUGAUACCUUGGUGUCCACAACAUGAAAAU
rnacentral:rRNA from 1 species